rnacentral:rRNA from 1 species
AGCCACAGUCAUAUCACCCUGCAGCCCAUGGUUACUCACUGAAGCUAAGCAGGGCUGAACCUGGUCAGUACCUGGAUGGGAGACCACAUAGGAAAACUAGGUUGCUGUGGGCA